GUAACACAUUCUUUUUCCUGGUUGAGGGUUGAUACAACCGUUUGACUUGUAUUGAAGGGGCUUAAAGAUAUGGAGGCUUAUUAUAUGUCUUGAGAUGAAAAGAAAGCAAGAAAAAUCAAGGUUUCUUUAUCUGAAUUGGCCAUUCAAAUGAAAUUAUGUAGUUUGAUCUUUUUUCAUUGUAAUAAUACCAAGUAUCAACCUUAAAGAAGCAAUAGAAAAAGUCUAGCUUUGUGAUACAGAAUGUAUA
rnacentral:misc_RNA from 1 species